rnacentral:rRNA from 1 species
AUUGAACGCUGGCGGCAUGCUUUACACAUGCAAGUCGAACGGUAACAGGUUAAGCUGACGAGUGGCGAACGGGUGAGUAACGCAUCGGAACGUGCCCGAUCGUGGGGGAUAACGCAGCGAAAGCUGCGCUAAUACCGCAUAAGAUCCGAGGAUGAGAGCGGGGGACUUUAUAGCAAUAUGAGGCCUCGCGCGAUCGGAGCGGCCGAUGUCAUGAUUAGGUAGUUGGCGGGGUAAAGGCCCACCAAGCCGACGAUCUGUAGCUGGUCUGAGAGGGCGACCAGCCAAACUGGGACGGAGACACGGCCCAGACUCCUACGGGAGGCAGCAGUGGGGAAUUUUGGACAAUGGGCGCAAGCCUGAUCCAGCAAUGCCGCGUGCAGGAAGAAGGCCUUCGGGUUGUAAACUGCUUUUGUACGGAGCGAAAAGGUCUUCUCUAAUAAAGAAGGCUGAUGACGGUACCGUAAGAAUAAGCACCGGCUAACUACGUGCCAGCAGCCGCCGUAAGAC